rnacentral:rRNA from 1 species
UAAUUGAUGUGUAAAUUUAAAUGUAAAUUUAAAGGGGUACAGCCCUUUAAAUUCAGGGUACAACCUUUAUUAGAGAGUAAAAUAAUUAAACAACCAUAGUUGGCCUAAAAGCAGCCACCAAUUAAGAAAGCGUUCAAGCUCAACAAACCAUUUCUAUAAACUUAAUUCAAUUAACUUUCAUCAACUCCUAACUUCAUACUGGACUAAUCUAUUUUUAUAUAGAAGAAAUACUGUUAAUAUGAGUAACGAGAUUUAAAUCUCCUAAGCGCAAGUUUAUGUCAGAUCAAAUAAUAACUGAUAGUUAACAGCCUUAUAAAUAUAAUCUAACCAUAAAUCCUUUAUUUAAAUUACUGUUAACCCGACACAGGAGCGCAUCAAGGAAAGAUUAAAAGAAGCAAAAGGAACUCGGCAAACACAAACCCCGCCUGUUUACCAAAAACAUCACCUUUAGCAUAACUAGUAUUAAAGGCACUGCCUGCCCAGUGACAAUUGUUAAACGGCCGCGGUAUCCUGACCGUGCAAAGGUAGCAUAAUCAUUUGUUCCUUAAAUAGGGACUUGUAUGAAUGGCCACACGAGGGUUUAACUGUCUCUUGCUUCCAAUCAGUGAAAUUGACCUUUCCGUGAAGAGGCGGAAAUAAUUUAAUAAGACGAGAAGACCCUAUGGAGCUUUAAUUUAUUAAUCCAACAAGAAUAUUAUAAAUCCACAAGGACUAAAACAAUUUCUUGACUGAAUUAAAAAUUUUGGUUGGGGUGACCUCGGAGCACAAAAUAACCUCCGAGAACAAAAUACUAAGACUAACAAGUCAAAGUUACUAAAUUAAUUGAUCCAGCAUUGCUGAUCAACGGAACAAGUUACCCUAGGGAUAACAGCGCAAUCCUAUUCAAGAGUCCUUAUCGACAAUAGGGUUUACGACCUCGAUGUUGGAUCAGGACAUCCUAAUGGUGCAGCAGCUAUUAAUGGUUCGUUU